UCACCAGAGAGUCUGUAAACCAGAUUCUGUUCAACCUGAACUCUUCAUGUUCAUCAUCAUCAGUCACUACUAUUAGUGUAGUUGUUGCUACUGCUGUUGCUGUGCACCUGUCUGUCUGUCUGUCUGUCUCUCAAUUCAAUUCAAUUCAGUUCAAAUGGCUUUAUUGGCAUGACGUAACACUGCACAUAUUGCUAAAGCAAGCGUUUGGAAUUAAAAUAAUAAUAACAAUAAAGGAAAACAAUAUUUACAAUAAAUGAAUUAUAAUCUAUACUGUUGGUAAUACUGUAACUAUGAUUGACUCAAUUACAAUCACAGUCACAAUCAAUCAAUCUCAGUCAAUAAGUAAUUAAUUACAAUCAAUCAAUCAAUCAGUUUGUGUCAACUACAAAUGUCAUUAAAACAGUAGUAAAGUAACUACAGUUAAAACAAGUAGUCUGUUGUCAAUAUAACAGUAAUAACAAAUUAUUAAAUAUAAUAUAUAUAUAUAAUAUUGAAAUAUUAAAAUAAAAUAGAUAGAUAAAACUGUAAGUGUGUGUGUGUCUGUGUGUGUGUGUGUGUGUGUGUGUGUGUGUGUGUAUAUAUAUAUAUUAAAAAACAACAAUAAAACAAUCAAUUAUUUUAUACAUUUAUCUGAGUUUCCACUGGUUGUCCUCAGUUCGUGGCAUGAGGAGACAUAUUUUGCUGCAAUAAUUUGACUUUUGGGCAUUUCUCCCAGUAAAUAGGGGAGUUUCUGUGUGUCUGAUAAUAAUUUGAAUUCGGGGUAUAUUUGGGAAAUGUUUGUGAAUUGUUUUUCUCUUAAAGUUUUGAAUUUAGGGCAUGAGGUUAGAAAGUGCAGCUCUGUCUCUACCUGUCCUCUGUCACACUGGGAGCAGAGUCUCUCCUCUUCUGGUAGCCAGUUCUGUCUGUGGUGACCCGUUUCUAUGGCCAGGCUGUGUUCACUCAGUCUGUACAUUGUCAACAUUUUUCUUAAUUUAGGACAUUUUAUUGUGAUCAGGUAAUUUGCCAGUGUGAAUUCUCUUUUUAGGGUCAGAUAACAUUGUAAUUUACUUUGUGAUUUGGUCGUUUCUUUCCAGUGUUCAAUAUAUUUUCUUUUUGCUUGUUGAUAAUUUGGUUUGGUCUGAUUGAGUUGGUGUUGCUGUCCUGAGGCUGUUGGGGACAUGUUACUGCAGAGAGCCUCAGGACCAGCUGGCUGAGGGGACUCUUCUCUGGUUUCAGCUCCUGGUAUGUUAGGGCUUUGUGAUGGUAUGUCUGGGGGUUAACUGAUUUUAAGUGAUUGUAAAAUUGAAUUGAUCUUUUCUGUAUUUUUAGUAGGAGGGGGUAUUGGCCGAGUUCUGCUCUGCACAGAUUAUUUGUUUUGGUCCCCAAAUUUCGCUGCCAUAUAGAAUUAUUGGUUCUAAUUCAAAUUGGAAAAUUUUAAGCCAGAUUUCAAUUGGAAUAUAGAUUUUAAUGUUUGUCUUUAUUGCAUAGAAAGCUCUCCUUGCUUUGUCCCUCAGAUCUUUCACAGCCAUGUUGAGGUUUCCUGUGUAUGUAAUGUUGAGGCCAAGGUAAGUGUAAUUUUUUGUAUGUUGUAAUUUAGUGGUGUCUAAAUAAAAAUUGUGUGUAACCAGA